UUGACACUUUAUUCCAAUAUAUUGUUUACAUGAAUAUAUGAGGAAUGUGCAGUGCAGAAGACAUUCUUGACAUAAGAGACUGCAAUGCAAGUGAGGGGCAUGAUAAAUAUGGUUACAUUUUUUUGUCUUCAUGGAAACUGUGGAGAUUUUUUUUUUACUCACCAGAAAGUAAUAAAGUCAAAGAUCACCGCUCAUCUGUCGAGGUGCAGGAUUGGUAGGUAACAUAUAAAAGAUAAGAAAAAUCUGCACAGACUGGAGUGUGCGGACUCAACAGAAAGUAAAAACAACUCAGGGCAGUUCAAAAAUCAAUAGAACAACAAAAUGUUUUACACUUGCAAUUGUAUUAGUAUUAGGUCAGACA